CCUACGGGAGGCAGCAGUAGGGAAUUUUCCACAAUGGGCGAAAGCCUGAAGGAGCAAAGUCGCGUGGGUGAAGACGGUCUUCGGAGCGUUAAACCCUGUUUUUAGGGAAGAAAGUGCGUGAGAGUAACGGUUCACGUUUCGACGGUAUCUAACCAGAAAGCCACGGCUAAUUACAUGCCCGCAGCCGAUGUAAUACGUAGGUGGCAAGCGUUAUCCGGUUUUGUUUAGCGUAAAGGGAACGCAGGCGGUCUUUUAAGUCUGAUGUGAAAGCCAUCGGCUUAACCGGAGUAGUGCAUUGGAAACUGGGAGACUUGAGUGCAGAAGAGGAGAGCGGAACUCCUGGUGUAGCGGUGAAAUGCGUAGAUAUAUGGAAGAACCCCAGUUGCGAAGGCAGCUCUCUGGUCUGUAACUGACGCUGAGGCUCGAAAGCGUGGGUAGCAAACAGGAUUAGAUACCCGGGUAGUC
rnacentral:rRNA from 1 species